UACUAACUGUGGAUCUAUCAGGGAGCUUUUUUAGUAAGCCUUUCAUUUCCUCUGUGCUGAGAGGAGUGUACUUAUAAGUAUUAUGAGCCACUCUGUCAUCUGCUGGCCCGGACCACUGUGUGGUUACUUGGAGAGGGGCAAGGGGAGCGCUGGCACUUAAGUCUGGGUUGAAAAGAGGAGGAGGCCAAUUAUCUCAGUUCUCCCCCGUGUGUGCCACAUUCCAAUCUUGGAUUUGUUUUUU